AAGUGCGAUCAUACCAACACUCAUGCACUAGAGAUCCCAUCAGAGCUCCGCAGUUAAGCGUGCGUGGGUGAGAGUAGUACUAGGAUGGGUGACCUCCUCGGAAGUCCUCGUGUUGCACCUC
rnacentral:rRNA from 2 species